rnacentral:rRNA from 1 species
GACGAACGCUGGCGGCGUGCUUAACACAUGCAAGUCGAACGGUGAAGCGCCUUCCUUUUUGGUGGGUGUGGAUGAGUGGCGAACGGGUGAGUAACACGUGAGUAACCUGCCCCCUUCUUCUGGAUAACCGCAUGAAAGUGUGGCUAAUACGGGAUAUUCUGGGUCUGUCGCAUGAUGGGUCUGGGAAAGAUAUUGUUUCGGUGGGGGAUGGGCUCGCGGCCUAUCAGCUUGUUGGUGGGGUGAUGGCCUACCAAGGCGGUGACGGGUAGCCGGCCUGAGAGGGUGGGCGGUCACAGUGGGACUGAGACACGGCGCAGACUCCGACGGGAGGCAGCAGUGGGGAAUAUUGCACAAUGGGCGCAAGCCUGAUGCAGCGACGCCGCGUGAGGGAUGGAGGCCUGCGGGUUGUGAACCUCUUUCGCCAGUGAAGCAGGCCUGCCUCGUUUGUGGGUGGGUUGACGGUAGCUGGAUAAGAAGCGCCGGCUAACUACGUG